rnacentral:rRNA from 1 species
GAUGAACGCUGGCGGCGUGCCUAAUACAUGCAAGUCGAGCGCAGCGGGGACGUGUGAGUAACACGUGGAUAACCUCCUAUAAGACUGGGAUAACUUCGGGAAACCGGAGCUAAACCGGAUACUUAUGUAUGGAUCCGCGCUUCAUUGGCUAGUUGGUAAGGUAACGGCGUACCAAGGCAACAAUGCAUAGCCGACCUGGGAGGGUGAUCGGCCACACUGGAACGGAGACACGCUCCAGAGGCCUACGGGAGGCAGCAGUAGGGAAUCUGCCGCAAUGGGCGAAAGCAUGACGGAGCAACGCAGCGUGAGUGAUGAAGGGCUUCGGAUCGUAAAACCCUGUUAUUAGGGAAGCGGUACCUAAACAGAAAGCCACGGCUAACUACGUGCCAGCAGCCGCGGUAAUAC